rnacentral:lncRNA from 1 species
UUUUUUUUUUUUGCGACACCUGCAUCAUGUGGAAGUUCCCAAGCCAGGGAUAGAGCCUGUGCCACAGCAGUGACAACUCUGGAUCCGAAGCCACUGAGCCACCAGGGAACUCCUACGUUUUUAUGUAUGUAGCAUUUGUUUAUAUUUUAUUUUGUGCUAAAACACUGUUAGAUUGAAAACAAAAAUUUUGGAAUACUAUUGUUUGUAACAAUGUAACUAGUGACUUUGCUGAAACAAAGAAAAGAGUGACAUAUUUUUAUGGGAUAAACGCAUAAUACUUUGUCUAUUGUUUAUAUCUUUGCCUUAUUACUCAUCCAGGCACCACCAGUCCAUAAACAGGAUAUCCCCAUGUGCAUAAUAAUAAUUAGAUUCCAUGGACUUUGAUGUUUGGCCAACUCUAAAUCAUACAAAAACCACAGCUUUACUCACAUUUAUUUUUUCACUUUUGUCAAUAUGAAGGUAUAAUUUUCAAGGUUCAGAGGAUAGAUUCUUUUUUUUAACCCAACUCUUUGUUAACUUGAUCCAUAACUUUUAAGUAUUUAGAUGUGGCUUACAGGCCUCUAUUGCUAGACUUUCCCUGGGCCUCAACUGUUAGCUGAAAGCCUGUUAUUUUCUUAAAAAUUUGUCUCUUGAUUUAGAAAAAUCUCACUUGUAGAAGAGAGUUGAUCUUCAUGAAUGGGGACAGUUGAAGGAGUACAGAUUCAAAUUUUUCUCCUUUUAGGCUCACUCUGGGGUAUGGACUCCCUGGGCUUGGAACAGCCGAUAAAAUGUUUUGCACUGCUAGGCUGAUUUUUGUCUUUGAGCAAACCCACACAGUUGAAUAUUGUUAAGUUAAAUGUAAUGAUAACACUACUGCAGUCUAACGAAAAUACUGAAGGGAUGAAAUGCUUCAUAAUUGAUUCGUUCUUUUAUUAAAUUUAGUGGAUUGCUGCUUGACUCUGAUUUUAGUAUUUUACCUUCACCUGUGUAGUGAUUCAUUCAACAGAACUUACUUGCUGGGCAUAGAGGACACAAAUACAAAUAAGAUGUUCCAUUUUCACUUUUGGCAAGAUGCUGGAAUAGGGACUAUGAAUGGGCCGUCGCUACAAAAUAACUAGUCAGGCCUUUUAAUAAAUUACAGUCUUUAUAGAAAAUAAGAGGGGACUUCCACACAGCCUUUCCUGUGUCAAAAACUGUAAAGCAUCUGAGAUUCUACCCUGCUUUCAAGAUAACAAGGUGCCUGCCAGGUUCAUGGAUGCUGGCCGAGGACAUGAGACACAUGAGUCAGAGACAAUGCAUAUUAUCACUCACAACACAGCAAACAGCAGGAGCUUCAUGUUUUUAUAAGUUUUCUUGUCCUUCGAGCCUCAUGGGAUGGCAGAGCAGCCCAGGUCAAUGCAGUGGAUUUAUACUAUAGCCGAGGAAUGCUCAGAUUACAAAAACACCGUCUUUUAAAGGGAUCGCUAGCAAACUUGCUCAACUUUUUCCUAGAAGGAGAUAUUGUGUUUAUGACUCUAGAUAAAUCUGCCAAGUAAAACUGCACUAAAUAGAGAGAGCAUCUAUAUCUUCCAAGGAAAGGUAGUUCAGAACAAAACCCGUCAAUAUAAGUGGACAUAUAAAAUUAUGUUGAUCCUAUAGUGUAGUCUAUUAAAAGUGAAAUUGCAUUAUGUCUGAAGAAACAAUGCACAUACCUGAAUUAAAAUAGUUCACUUCUGAAAUCUGCUAACCAUCAACCGAUCCUUCAGCGACUCAUCAUCUUUUUGUUGGUGAAGGGUCUCGCCUCGACAUUGCUGGCUGCCGAUUGAUCUGGGUUGUGCUUGCUGAAGGCUAAGGGGUCUGUGGCAAUUUCUUAAAAUAAGACCAUGAACGUCACCGCAUCAACUGGCCCUUCCUUUGUGACUUAGCAGGAAAUGCUGUUUGAUCGCAUUUUGCAGCAGAACGUCUUUCAAAGUUGGAAUCAGUCCUCUCCAAUCUUGCCUCUGCUUUAUCAGCUAAGUUUAUGUCAUAUUCUAAAUCCUUUGUUGGCAACAAUCUUCACAACAUCUUCACGGAACGAAGAGUCCAUUUCCAGAAACCCCCUUCUUUGCUCAUCCAUGACAAGGAACUCUUCAUCCGUUCCAGUUUUAUCAUGAGAUCACACCAAUUCAGUCUCAUUUUUAGGCUCUUCUUCUGAGUCUAGUUCCCUGCCAUGUCCACCACAUUGGCAGUUACUUCCUCUACUGAAGGUAGGUAGGUCUUGAACCCCCCAAAGGCCUCCACGAGGGUUGAAAUCACUUUCUUUCCAAUGCCUGUUAAUCUGGAUAUUUUGACCUCUUCCUAUGAAUUAUGGAUGUUCUUCAUGGCUCUGGAAUGGGGACUCCUUCCCAAAAGAUUUUCAAUUUAUUUUGCCCCCAACCCAUCAGAGGCAUCACUCUCUAUUAGCUAUGGCCUUUCAAAAUGUAUUUCUUAAGUAACGAAACUUGAAAACUAAAAUUGCUCCUGGAGGGCAUUCCCAUUGUGGCUCAGUGGGUUACAAACCUGACUAGUUAUUUCCUGAGGAUGCAGGUUUGAUCCCUGGCCUUGCUCAGUGGUUCAGUGGGUUAAAGAUCUGGCAUUGCUGUGGCUGUGACUGUGGCUGUGGUGUAGGCCAGCAGAUGCAGCUCCGACUCAACCCCCAGCCUGGGCACUUCCAUAUGCUGCAGGUGCAGUCC